AACGAACGCUGGCGGCAGGCCUAACACAUGCAAGUCGAACGCCCCGCAAGGGGAGUGGCGCACGGGUGAGUAACGCGUGGGAAUAUGCCCUUCGGUUCGGAAUAACACAGGGAAACUUGUGCUAAUACCGGAUACGAUCUACGGAUGAAAGAUUUAUCGCCGAGGGAGUAGCCCGCGUAGGAUUAGCUAGUUGGUGAGGUAAUGGCUCACCAAGGCGACGAUCCUUAGCUGGUCUGAGAGGAUGAUCAGCCACACUGGGACUGAGACACGGCCCAGACUCCUACGGGAGGCAGCAGUGGGGAAUAUUGGACAAUGGGCGAAAGCCUGAUCCAGCCAUGCCGCGUGAGUGAUGAAGGCCUUAGGGUUGUAAGGCUCUUUCGCCAGGGAAGAUAAUGACGGUACCUGGAAAAGAAGCCUCGGCUAACUCCGUGCCAGCCGCCGCCGUAG
rnacentral:rRNA from 1 species